AUUGAACGCUGGCGGCGUGCCUAACACAUGCAAGUCGAGCGAUUCUCUUCGGAGAAGAGCGGCGGACGGGUGAGUAACGCGUGGGUAACCUGCCCUGUACACACGGAUAGCAUACCGAAAGGUAUGCUAAUACGGGAUAAAGUGCUUUUAUCGCAUGGUAAAAGUAUCAAAGCUCCGGCGGUACAGGAUGGACCCGCGUCUGAUUAGCUAGUUGGUAAGGUAACGGCUUACCAAGGCGACGAUCAGUAGCCGACCUGAGAGGGUGAUCGGCCACAUUGGAACUGAGACACGGUCCAAACUCCUACGGGAGGCAGCAGUGGGGAAUAUUGCACAAUGGGCGAAAGCCUGAUGCAGCAACGCCGCGUGAGCGAUGAAGGCCUUCGGGUCGUAAAGCUCUGUCCUCAAGGAAGAUAAUGACGGUACUUGAGGAGGAAGCCCCGGCUAACUACGUGCCAGCAGCCGCCGUAA
rnacentral:rRNA from 1 species